rnacentral:misc_RNA from 1 species
GUUUAAAGUGUCUGUAACAUAAGAAACGAUUAUGCCGAUAGCAUUGCCUCAAUCAGAAUUCACAUCACAUGUUUCACAAGUUGCAUUAUUCAAUCUCUGUAAGUUGCAUCCAGGCCACAUGGAACACAGCACGCACCACACGGUAACUAAAUUUCGUCAAGUUUAUUCAAUAACUUAGCUUUAGCGACCAAGGACCAAUAAUCUUUAUGAUCAUUUUAGCUCUGCCAGUGCUGUUUUAACGUUUCGUGAUAUCCGAUCAUGUACCGGUUCCUCUGACAAUGGCACCUCAAAUUUGGAUUUGGUUAUUGUCUCGUACAAGAAAAUAUAUCGCCAUGACAGUUCACGGACAAGCCCUUCAGGAGCAUCUGGGAGAACCUCAUCUUCAUAUGGAUUGCAAUUAUCUU